rnacentral:rRNA from 1 species
GAUGAACGCUGGCGGUAUGCUUAACGCAUGCAAGACGAACGGACUCUUCGGAGUUAGUGGCGGACGGGUGAGUAACGCGUGAGAAUCUGGCUUUGGGUUCGGGACAACCACUGGAAACGGUGGCUAAUACCGGAUGUGCCGAGAGGUAAAAGAGAAAUUGCCUGAAGAUGAGCUCGCGUCUGAUUAGCUAGUUGGUGAGGUAAAGGCUCACCAAGGCAGCGAUCAGUAGCUGGUCUGAGAGGAUGACCAGCCACACUGGGACUGAGACACGGCCCAGACUCCUACGGGAGGCAGCAGUGGGGAAUUUUCCGCAAUGGGCGAAAGCCUGACGGAGCAGUACCGCGUGAGGGAAGAAGGCUCUUGGGUUGUAAACCUCUUUUCUUAGGGAAGAACAAAAUGACGGUACCUAAGGAAUCAGCAUCGGCUAACUCCGUG